rnacentral:rRNA from 1 species
GAGUUUGAUCCUGGCUCAGAUUGAACGCUGGCGGCAUGCCUUACACAUGCAAGUCGAACGGCAGCACGGGAGCAAUCCUGGUGGCGAGUGGCGAACGGGUGAGUAAUACAUCGGAACGUGCCCAAUCGUGGGGGAUAACGCAGCGAAAGCUGUGCUAAUACCGCAUACGAUCUACGGAUGAAAGCAGGGGACCGCAAGGCCUUGCGCGAAUGGAGCGGCCGAUGGCAGAUUAGGUAGUUGGUGGGGUAAAGGCUCACCAAGCCAACGAUCUGUAGCUGGUCUGAGAGGACGACCAGCCACACUGGGACUGAGACACGGCCCAGACUCCUACGGGAGGCAGCAGUGGGGAAUUUUGGACAAUGGGCGCAAGCCUGAUCCAGCCAUGCCGCGUGCAGGAUGAAGGCCUUC